AUUGCUUCUCAGCCAUUUGGCUAAGAUCAAGUGUACUUCCUCAUGCUUUAAGAUAUGAUAUGUUACAAUGUAGUCAUGAGGUAUAUUUACGUAUUGGAAAAUGUAAGCUCAGAGCUCUAACAGUUUAUUGCAUAUAAUGCAUAUGUCUGCUUGCUUAUUAAUAAAAUCUCU